GCGGAUCCCGUUACCAACGGCCGAUUCCAUCUUUUGGAGAAGCGAAACCCGAUGUCACCGUCGGCGAGACCUCAGUCUCUUCGUCUUAUGGAAGAGCGACCGAGCCUCGCUGUUGCUACCGCUGCUGGCCGAGGGGCAUCCCCGGUUUAGGUUGAGUUCGUCAUCGACUACCUUACCACUUCUUCUUCCGCCCUUGCGAUCGAUGCACAUCCAUCACGUAGCUACUGACGAAAUGGUCAUUCCUCAGAUAAAUGUGUUGGACCAGGAGGUUGGUAUGGUGACACCUAUGUGCCUUCAUCUAACAUCCAAAGAUCUGCUAGAUAAGUUAUUCAAGGAACAUCUUAUAUGCUAAUUCAAUGUGCCAAUUGCUUUAGCUUCAAGUACCCGAUGAAUCUUUGUCACUGCUUAUGGGAAUGGGUUACAAAGAAAAUGCAGCGAAAAGGGCGCUAAGAAUGACCGGUCAAGACGUUCAGCCAGCAGUUCAUUUCCUGGUUGAAGAGCUAGGAAAAUACUCAGGAAACAGGAGAAUAUUCAGCGACAAGGAGAGAUUUUGUAUAGCUCUAUACUUUGCCAGAGAAUGUUUUUAUCUUAUUUUUUAGUUAAUGAUUGUUGCUGAUUGUAUGAACUUGUAGAGAACAGAGGAGAUAUGGUACUAAUAAAUCAUGGCAUAUAGCAUAAUGUGACAGAUGUAAUGGCUUUGCUUCUGUGGAUUGUGAAACAUUAGAUUGUGUCAGGCACUUAUCAGAUUGCUCUCUGGUGUCUAGGAUCAAUACAUGUACACUACUAGUCAAUCUAUUUUGCAGUUUUGAUAGAGAUCUUGCUGCACAGGCUCUUAGGGUGAAUGAAAAUGAAGUUCAAAAAGCGUUAGAUCUUUUGACAAAUCCUGAGAGCCCUUCAGAGUCGACUUGGAAGUUGGGAGUAUCGGAUUCUUCAGGUGCAGACGUUGAGGAAUUAGUAUCCAUGGGGUAUAACCGAUCAUCAGUUGUGGACGCUGUGCAAAGGUCACUUACCAAGGAGGAUGUGUUGAAACUUCCUGUCGGAGCAAAUUCAGAGGAUAGCCAGCAUGCUACAAUCAACCAACCGAAAGAUGAUUAAGGGCCAUCAGCUGCUUUAGCUAAUGAUGAUAAAAUGGAUCUGGGAGGAGAACACAAAUAUGAGAGAGACGAAGCCAUGGAAUAUGAGCUUGCUCCUUUGGCAGACUACAACACGGAAGUAAUGAAAGGAGAGGCCACAACAAAGUGUUUGGCCAUUCUGGAUUCAAAAGCCAAUGCAACAUAGGAAAUAAGAUACAUCGGAAGAAUCCCAUAAAUAAGUAAGAUAGUGUAGUUUCCUUUUGUAUCCCCCAGCAUUAAUAUAUUAUUAUAGAAGAUACGACUGCGAUUUCUUUUUUUAAUUAGCCAUAAGUUUUAUUUUUUCUCUUUCUGUAAUCAUCAUUUCCAAAUGGGUUUUUAUGUAUUUCUGGCAAUGUGCACCCCGUCGCCGAGAGGUCAUAUAUGGUGUUUUACAUUUAAAAUAUCUUGCUUGAAGGGAAAAAGCCU